rnacentral:rRNA from 1 species
AAUCAACGCUGGCGGCGUGCCUAACACAUGCAAGUCGCACGAGAAAGGGGGCUUCGGCCCUGAGUACAGUGGCGCACGGGUGAGUAACACGUGAAUGAUCUACCUCCGAGUGGGAAUAACUGAGAGAAAUCUUAGCUAAUACCGCAUAACACUUACGAGUCAAAGCAGCAAUGCGCUUGGAGAGGAGUUCGCGGCAGAUUAGUUAGUUGGCGGGGUAAUGGCCCACCAAGACGAUGAUCUGUAUCCGGCCUGAGAGGGCGCACGGACACACUGGAACUGAAACACGGGUCCAGACUCCUACGGGAGGCAGCAGUGGGGAAUUUUGCGCGAAUGGGGGAAACCCUGACGCAGCAACGCCGCGUGGAGGAUGAAAUCCC